GAGGUCAUCUGAUUUCUGACUAGAACGUGUGAGAUCUCAUCGUCCUGAAACUACUUCAAACAGAAUGGUUUGCAAAUUUUUUUGGUGAUGGCAUGUUCAGAAUCUUGGAUCCUUAUGUUGAAUGUAUUGGAAAAUGUUAAUGAUAUUUAGUAAUCCUGAAAAUAAUUCUGUGUAUAUUUCAUGUGUUUAUAUAUAGGUAAAGCAGUAGCUUUAAUAAAAUCUAACAAAGGAAAAGAUACUACAGUUUUGUCACCUGAGUCAAAGAUAGUUGGUGAAGAAAAAAAACCAGAAAAUAAAGAAAUCAGAAAAUGACAAUCUGAAAAGUAGCAACGAUACAAUUGCAGCGAGAAAACUGUCUCAGAAUAGAAUUUGCAUUAGCAUAUUGAGACUACCCAAACUACAUCCAAAAACACUUAAGAUUAAAUUGCAUCCAACUCUCAAAUUAUCCUUGAUGAUACAGAACAACAGUGUGAACAAGGAGAAAAAUGGAAUUUUCAUUUUCACUUCCUCUCCGUAGUGGUGGACUGGUUAAUGAAAAGUGAGAUGACCAAGAGGAGAAUAACACUGAGAGUUAAAAGGAGAAUUAAAAAUUGAAGGCAGUCUCCAAAGAUUAGAUUCUGACCCUAAAUAAAGAAUUGACUGAAUUUCA
rnacentral:lncRNA from 1 species